ACUACACUCCUACGGGAGGCAGCAGUGGGGAAUUUUGGACAAUGGGCGAAAGCCUGAUCCAGCAAUGCCGCGUGUGUGAAGAAGGCCUUCGGGUUGUAAAGCACUUUUGUCCGGAAAGAAAUCCUUGGCUCUAAUACAGUCGGGGGAUGACGGUACCGGAAGAAUAAGCACCGGCUAACUACGUGCCAGCAGCCGCGGUAAUACGUAGGGUGCGAGCGUUAAUCGGAAUUACUGGGCGUAAAGCGUGCGCAGGCGGUUUGCUAAGACCGAUGUGAAAUCCCCGGGCUCAACCUGGGAACUGCAUUGGUGACUGGCAGGCUAGAGUAUGGCAGAGGGGGGUAGAAUUCCACGUGUAGCAGUGAAAUGCGUAGAGAUGUGGAGGAAUACCGAUGGCGAAGGCAGCCCCCUGGGCCAAUACUGACGCUCAUGCACGAAAGCGUGGGGAGCAAACAGGAUUAGAUACCCUGGUAGUCCC
rnacentral:rRNA from 1 species